rnacentral:rRNA from 1 species
GAUGAACGCUGGCGGCGUGCCUAAUACAUGCAAGUCGAGCGAACGGACGAGAAGCUUGCUUCUCUGAUGUUAGCGGCGGACGGGUGAGUAACACGUGGAUAACCUACCUAUAAGACUGGGAUAACUUCGGGAAACCGGAGCUAAUACCGGAUAAUAUUUUGAACCGCAUGGUUCAAAAGUGAAAGACGGUCUUGCUGUCACUUAUAGAUGGAUCCGCGCUGCAUUAGCUAGUUGGUAAGGUAACGGCUUACCAAGGCAACGAUGCAUAGCCGACCUGAGAGGGUGAUCGGCCACACUGGAACUGAGACACGGUCCAGACUCCUACGGGAGGCAGCAGUAGGGAAUCUUCCGCAAUGGGCGAAAGCCUGACGGAGCAACGCCGCGUGAGUGAUGAAGGUCUUCGGAUCGUAAAACUCUGUUAUUAGGGAAGAACAUAUGUGUAAGUAACUGUGCACAUCUUGACGGUACCUAAUCAGAAAGCCACGGCUAACUACGUGCCAGCAGCCGCGGUAAUACGUAGGUGGCAAGCGUUAUCCGGAAUUAUUGGGCGUAAAGCGCGCGUAGGCGGUUUUUUAAGUCUGAUGUGAAAGCCCACGGCUCAACCGUGGAGGGUCAUUGGAAACUGGAAAACUUGAGUGCAGAAGAGGAAAGUGGAAUUCCAUGUGUAGCGGUGAAAUGCGCAGAGAUAUGGAGGAACACCAGUGGCGAAGGCGACUUUCUGGUCUGUAACUGACGCUGAUGUGCGAAAGCGUGGGGAUCAAACAAGAUUAGAUACCCUGGUAGUCCACGCCGUAAACGAUGAGUGCUAAGUGUUAGGGGGUUUCCGCCCCUUAGUGCUGCAGCUAACGCAUUAAGCACUCCGCCUGAGGAGUACGACCGCAAGGUUGAAACUCAAAGGAAUUGACGGGGACCCGCACAAGCGGUGGAGCAUGUGGUUUAAUUCGAAGCAACGCGAAGAACCUUACCAAAUCUUGACAUCCUUUGACAACUCUAGAGAUAGAGCCUUCCCCUUCGGGGGACAAAGUGACAGGUGGUGCAUGGUUGUCGUCAGCUCGUGUCGUGAGAUGUUGGGUUAAGUCCCGCAACGAGCGCAACCCUUAAGCUUAGUUGCCAUCAUUAAGUUGGGCACUCUAAGUUGACUGCCGGUGACAAACCGGAGGAAGGUGGGGAUGACGUCAAAUCAUCAUGCCCCUUAUGAUUUGGGCUACACACGUGCUACAAUGGACAAUACAAAGGGCAGCGAAACCGCGAGGUCAAGCAAAUCCCAUAAAGUUGUUCUCAGUUCGGAUUGUAGUCUGCAACUCGACUACAUGAAGCUGGAAUCGCUAGUAAUCGUAGAUCAGCAUGCUACGGUGAAUACGUUCCCGGGUCU